rnacentral:rRNA from 1 species
GAUGAACGCUGGCGGCGUGCCUAAUACAUGCAAGUCGAACGAGGUCUUCGGACCGAGUGGCGAACGGGUGAGUAACACGUUGGUACCUACCCCGAAGUGGGGAAUAACUGGCCGAAAGGUCGGCUAAUACCGCAUAAUACCGCAAGGUUAAAGCAGUAAUGCGCUUCGGGAGGGGCCUGCGUCCCAUUAGCUAGUUGGUGAGGUAAUUGCUCACCAAGGCAACGAUGGGUAGCUGGAUCGAGAGGUUGACCAGCCACACUGGGACUGAGAUACGGCCCAGACUCCUACGGGAGGCAGCAGUAAGGAAUCUUCACAAUGGACGAAAGUCUGAUGGAGCAACGCCGCGUGCA